GCUGUCGGUGUUGCAACGGUUAGCAUACGCUUCCGGUAAGAGUGAGGCCUGGGUUCGAAUCCCGGCUGACGCA